rnacentral:rRNA from 1 species
ACCCGCUGAACUUAAGCAUAUCAAUAAGCGGAGGAAAAGAAACCAACCGGGAUUGCCCUAGUAACGGCGAGUGAAGCGGCAACAGCUCAAAUUUGAAAUCGGGCAUUUAUGCUUGAGUUGUAAUUUGCAGAGGGAGCUUUGGUUCUGGCAGCGGUCUAAGUUCCUUGGAACAGGACGUCACAGAGGGUGAGAAUCCCGUAUGUGGUCGCUGGCCUUUACCGUGUAAAGCCCCUUCGAUGAGUCGAGUUGUUUGGGAAUGCAGCUCUAAAUGGGAGGUAAAUUUCUUCUAAAGCUAAAUACUGGCCAGAGACCGAUAGCGCACAAGUAGAGUGAUCGAAAGAUGAAAAGUACUUUGGAAAGAGAGUCAAACAGCACGUGAAAUUGUUGAAAGGGAAGCGCUUGCAGCCAGACUUGCCCGUAGUUGCUUAUCCAGGCUUUUGCCCGGUGCACUCUUCUGCGGGCAGGCCAGCAUCAGUUUGGGCGGUUGGAUAAAGGUCUCUGUCACGUACCUCCUUUCGGGGAGGCCUUAUAGGGGAGGCGACAUGCAACCAGCCCGGACUGAGGUCCGCGCAUUUGCUAGGAUGCUGGCGUAAUGGUGGU